GCCGCCCACUCCGCAGUCCCGUCCGGAAAAGCCGCCGCUUAACCUUGACCUAGAACCGCCGCCAAUGCCUGGAAGGUUAAUGGAAUUCCAAUUUGCAAGCUGCCAACAGAGGCCGGAAUUCGAACCCCAAGGAGAACGGGGUGAAGAGCUGGAACUUUUCGGAGAACUUCAGCGGCCCAUUGGGCGAGUCGGGCCGGUUGCACUCCCAGCGCUUGAAGCCGUUUUGCCGGUGGUCGCAGGAGUCGUGACCCUCGUAGUUGACCAUGUAGAGGAUGUAGCGCUCCAUGCGGUCCAUGGGGAAAGGCCUCUCGUAGUGCGGGCAAUAGAUAUCCAGGUAGUCGUUGAUGCUCACUUCCACGGUGUAGUCGCUCUGGUGGAACCUGUGGUGGGAAACAGCGAGGAAGAGUUAACGAAGUGAAAAUAACUUGGAAUGCCUGCAGCCGAGCGUGAACUACAGUAAGAAACACAAUUUGCCUCCUUGCCUUGCAGAGUGUGUGUGUGGUUGCAGUCUGCCUGCAGCCGAGCGCCAACUACAGUAAGAAACACAACUUGCCUCCUUGCCUUGCAGCGUGCAGCCUGCCUGCAGCCGAGCGCCACCUCUACAGUAAGAAACAGAACUUGCCUCCUUGCCUUGGAGAGGGUGUGUGUGGUGUGUAGCCUGCCUGCAGCCGAGCACCUACUCUACAGUAAGAAACAGAACUUGCCUCCUUGCCUUGGAGAGAGUGUGUGUGGUGUGUAGCCUGCCUGCAGCCGAGCGCCACCUCUACAGUAAGAAACAGAACUUGCCUCCUUGCCUUGGAGAGAGUGUGUGUGGUGUGUAGCCUGCCUGCAGCCGAGCGCCUACUCUACAGUAAGAAACAGAACUUGCCUCCUUGCCUUGGAGAGGGUGUGUGUGGUGUGUAGCCUGCCUGCAGCCAAGCGCCUCCUCUAGAGUAAGAAACAGAACUUGCCUCCUUGCCUUGGAGAGGGUGUGUGUGGUGUGUAGCCUGCCUGCAGCCAAGCGCCUCCUCUAGAGUAAGAAACAGAACUUGCCUCCUUGCCUUGGAGAGUACUAUGUGGUGUGUGGCGGCUGCCUCUCCUCCAGAGUAGAGAAACAGGUAAGAAGGUUUUUUAAAGCACACGCCAGUGCCUGCAGCUGAGCACCUCUCCUUUAGAGUAGAAACAACCUAUGACAGGAAGGGGAGCCUGGGAAGUCCCUCAUAAUGAGCUGAUAAAAAAUGGAUCUUUCAGCACUCCAGAGCGAAAACAGAUAUCUGCCCUCCCAAAAAACGGAUCGGGGACCCAUCUAAAGCCAGGAUACAAAACGGGUCAGUAGACAUAAAACAGGAUGUCUCAGAGAUGGGACCCAAAUCUAAACACAAAACCCUUUGGUUAAACUUUAUACACAUAGCUUGAAUGCCUCGUGUGCGACCACCACAACAUAGCUUGUGUGCGACCAACACAGGCUGUCGCACCCCCCACGCGAUGCCAAGGUAAUCGGCGGCACCCUUUCCCACCCCUUCCCUUCUGCUGAGCGGAUUUCAGCUUUUGCCGGAGACACUCCAGAACCGACCGCCUUCCCGUCCACGUGAUCCCCUUAAUCUCCCUUCCUCCCAUUAACUUUACAAGAUUAAAGCGAGCACCUCUUAAAAUUAAUAAACUGGCAACCGCCGACGAGGAAGGGAGGGAGAGAUCGUUCCUCGACAUCGCGGGUAUUAUAUUCAGAGGCACAUAUCGCUCAGGAAGAUGGGUUUCGUUCCUCUGUUUCAUUCUCUUCUUUUUCUUAUAAUUUUGGGACAGAGAGAUUAAGGGAUUAGGAAAUCCAGGGGAAGCGCACGCUAGGCCUGCAUUCAAAGAGGCAGGUGUCGUGGUUCAUACGGUUUGGCUUUCAGGGGACGUCGAACAGAAGCUGUCCAAAGCUUGGAAAAGAGAGUGCGUGUGUUGCAUGGCGUGCAGCCAGGCUCGAAAAGUGUGUGUUCCUGCCAGUGCCUGCAGCUGAGCGCCUCUUUCUACUCUAGAGUAAGAGGCGCUCAGGUGCAGGCCACCACCGAAAGCUGGGACACAAAAUGGGAGAAGGUUUACCCUGCGUGCACAACCCUAUUGUGUAGGAGAUGGAACUCACAUUUCCCGAGAUGUAGACAAGGAAAUAGAGUCUCCCUAAACAUUACGAAUAACUUUUUAGCGGACCUCUUUCACUGCACAUUCCACCACUGGCGGUCUUGAAAAAAAACACUUGGGUGUCAUACUUAAAGAGGAGUUGCAUUCUCCUGUUGGACUAAAUGAGUGGUUCCCAAACUUAUUUGGCCUACAGUCCCUUUUCCAGAAAAAAUAUGACUCAGCGCCCUGGAAGGGGGCGUGGCUUAGAAGGGUGGGCGUGGCUCCUGCUCAAGAGGGCGGGGCUGAGCCUCUCCCCUAGUCCAAGAGGCAGGGCUGGGAGGGGGAGGUGGGCGGGGCCAUAAAUGGACAGCCAGGACUGGGAUGGGCAGGGUUACGAGCUCUGAGUCAGGGCUGAGCUUCUAUCCCUGUCCUGCAGUGCCUGCCAGAUAACAGGGGGCGGGGCUAAAGUGGGUGGGCCUCUAUACCCCGCCCCAUGUUCUAACAAGCACCUCAAGGGAGGUAUACAGAGGCUCUUGGGAAGAGGCCCCGCCCCUAGCCCCACCCUUUAGUCCUAAAAGGCCUCUCAGGAGAGAUAUAGAGGCUCAGCCCUGUCUCAUGCUCUUGGGAAGAGGCCCCACCCCCGCCCUAGCCCCGCCCUUUAGUCCUAAAAGGCCUCUCAGGAAAGGUAUAGAGGCUCAGCCCUGUCUCAUGCUCUUGGGAAGAGGCCCCACCCCCGCCCUAGCCCCGCCCUUUAGUCCUAAAAGGCCUCUCAGGAAAGGUAUAGAGGCUCAGCCCUGUCUCAUGCUCUUGGGAAGAGGCCCCGCCCCCACCCUAGCCCCACCCUUUAGUCCUAAAAGGCCUCUCAAGAGAGAUAUAGAGGCUCAGCCCUGUCUCGGGUUCUUUGAAGGAGGCCCCGCCCCCACCCCUAGCCCGUCCCUUUAGUCCUAAAAGGCCUCUCAGGAGAAAUAUAGAGGCUCAGCCCUGACUCGGGCUUUGUGGUUCUAUAUCUGGAACAGAAAUUGGCUGUCUAGUGGAUUACUGUCUGUAUCUAAACACUCUGAAGUUUAUCAAUACAUGCGACGUGGAGGACUGAACACCAAGAGGACUGUCGUCAUCUGCUGUUGCUCUGAAACCAAAGACAACCACACAAAGCCAUGGAGCGGAAGGGCCCAUCUCUUGAGCCUGCAAGGAUUUCCUUUGGUCUGACUCGCACACAUCUCCCAGUGUCUAAUGUGAGCAGAAAGAUCACCUUGGGAUUUACUGACUGGGAAUCAUUUUGGAAAGAGUAAAACCAGGUAUGAAAAAGGGCAUUAAAGGAAAUCCGAGAGGAUACCGACAAUCUCGUUAGACUUAAAUAAAUCUCUGAGAGACGUUCAGCUGCACGUUGAGGCUGGAUGGGAGCAGGAGUCCAGCCCAAGAUAAAAGGAGUGCAAGCCUACCUUUUGCUUGAAACCACUUUGGCUUUCUGAUGCUUUAGUGUAUACAAACUUUGCUUCAACAAAAAUCAUAUAUAUAAUGUGCGUUUUUCCGAUGGAGCAAACAACAAAACCACUGAACCAAAUCACACCAAAUUUGGCCGCAAAAGACAUAGUCAUCCAAUCUAUGUCUUUCAAACAAAAAACCUGAAAAAGAAAGUCCAAAUUAGAGAACGAGGAAGGGCCGUUUUUAACCCUUGUUGCUGGUCAGAAGGGUAGGCCCUGCCCCCUUUAGGUCCCGCCCACUUUGUCUCUGUCAUGAUCUCCAACCUUUGACAUCUCUGGUCGGCUGACAAAGAACAAAUGCCAGCCAUAAAACGGGCCAGCCAUAAAACCUCAAUUACCCUCUGGUAUGUGAGAGCCCCUUUAUAAAUGGGCCAAAGAGAAGGUUCUGGUAUUCUGUACAAUAAAACCUGUUCAAAUCUA